rnacentral:rRNA from 1 species
UACGUAGGUGACAAGCGUUGUCCGGAUUUACUGGGCGUAAAGAGCGCGCAGGCGGUCGUUCAAGUCGAGUGUGAAAGCCCCCGGCUCAACUGGGGAGGGUCACUCGAUACUGAUCGACUCGAAGGCAGGAGAGGGAAGUGGAAUUCCCGGUGUAGUGGUGAAAUUCGUAGAUAUUCGGAAGAACACCAGUGGCGAAGGCGGCUCACUGGCCCGGUACUGACGCUGAGGUGCGAAAGCGUGGGGAGCAAACAGGA